GGCUAGACUAUAAACUCCAACCCUUUGUGACCUUACCGUCGUUGCCUCGGCGUGAGCUACGGCUACCCUGUAGCUACCCUGUAGUACCCUAUAGCUACCCUGUAGUACCCUACAGCUACCCUAUAGGUACCUUGAAGCUACCCUGUAGACGGCUUAUGGCCCGCCGAAGGACCGCUAAACUCUUGUUUUUAUUGCUGUUAUUCUGAAUUAUAAACUAAAAUAAGUUAAAACUUUCAACAACGGAUCUCUUGGUUCUGGCAUCGAUGAAGAACGCAGCGAAAUGCGAUAAGUAAUGUGAAUUGCAGAAUUCAGUGAAUCAUCGAAUCUUUGAACGCACAUUGCGCCCAUUAGUAUUCUAGUGGGCAUGCCUAUUCGAGCGUCAUUUCGACCCCUAAGCCCCUGUUGCUUAGCGUUGGGAAUCUACGGCGUAGUUCCUUAAAGUUAGUGGCGGAGUUAGGGUACACUCCCAGCGUAGUAAUAUCUCUCGCUUGUGUGGUGGCCCUGGCUGCUGGCCGUUAAAACCCCUAUAUCUUUUAGUGGUUGACCUCGAAUUAGGUAAGAAUACCCGCUGAACUUAAGCAUAUCAAA
rnacentral:rRNA from 1 species